AUUGAACGCUGGCGGCAGGCCUAACACAUGCAAGUCGAGCGAGCGGCGGACGGGUGAGUAAUGUAUGGGGACUGCCCGAUAGAGGGGGAUAACUACUGGAAACGGUGGCUAAUACCGCAUACUAUCGGAUAACCCAGAUGGGAUUAGCUAGUAGGUGGGGUAAAGGCUCACCUAGGCGACGAUCUCUAGCUGGUCUGGUAGGAUGAUCAGCCACCAUGGGAAUGAGACACGGCCCAGACUCCUAAGGAGGCAGCAGGGGGUAAUAUUGCACAAUGGGCGAAAGCCUGAUGCAGCCAUGCCGCGUGUAUGAAGAAGGCAUUAGGGUUGUAAAGUACUUUCAGCGGGGAGGCGUUACCCGCAGAAGAAGCACCGGCUAACUCCGUGCCAGCAGCCGCGGUAAUUC
rnacentral:rRNA from 1 species